CAUUGACAACAACUUGACCGGCGUU
rnacentral:miRNA from 1 species